CGGCGUGCCUAAUACAUGCAAGUCGAACGGUCUUUCUAUGGAAGCUUGCUUCCACUGAGAAGAUAGUGGCGAACGGGUGAGUAACACGUGGGUAACCUGCCCAUAAGAGGGGGAUAACAUCCGGAAACGGGUGCUAAUACCGCAUAGUUUUCUUGAUCGCAUGAUCGGGAAAGGAAAGACGGCCUUUGUGCUGUCGCUUAUGGAUGGACCCGCGGCGUAUUAGUUAGUUGGUGAGGUAAUGGCUCACCAAGACGAUGAUACGUAGCCGACCUGAGAGGGUGAUCGGCCACAUUGGGACUGAGACACGGCCCAAACUCCUACGGGAGGCAGCAGUAGGGAAUCUUCCGCAAUGGACGAAAGUCUGACGGAGCAACGCCGCGUGAGUGAAGAAGGUUUUCGGAAUCGUAAAACUCUGUUGUCAGAGAAGAACAAGUUGGAGAGUAACUGCUCCAGCCUUGACGGUAUCUGACCAGAAAGCCACGGCUAACUACGUGCCAGCAGCUGC
rnacentral:rRNA from 1 species